rnacentral:rRNA from 1 species
UACGGGGGGGGUAAGCGUUGUUCGGAAUUACUGGGCGUAAAGGGCUCGUAGGCGGCCAACUAAGUCAGACGUGAAAUCCCUCAGCUUAACUGGGGAACUGCGUCUGAUACUGGAUGGCUUGGAUCCGGAAGAGGGAUGCGGAAUUCCAGGUGUAGCGGUGAAAUGCGCAGAUAUCAGGAGGAACACCGGUGGCGAAGGCGGGUCUCUGGGCCGAUACUGACGCUGAGGAGCGAAAGCGUGGGGAGCGAACAGG